CCCACCCCUCAAAGAUGUGCAUGUUCGGUUCCCCAGUGUGUCUACAUGGUCCUGGUGUGAGUGUGGGGUGUGUGUGAAUGUGCCCUGCGAUGGGACAGUGUCCUGUUCAGGGCUGGUUCUCACCUUAAGCCUUGAGCUGCUGGAAUGAGCUACACCAACUGGAGACUGGAGACUCUGGCAACCUGGAGAACUGUUAUUGUUGAGCCUCAGUGGAUCCUUAUCAAGUGCAAGAAGAGAGAGCAAAUACCACGAAAGCCCAGAUUCGUAACUAGAGAUCUGCGAACUGUUGAAAUUAUGUGCACGAUGUUCAACAUCUAUGUAUUUCUUAUGGGAUUCCAGGAUUGCUGGUGUGAACUUUUUGCCACCUGCACAGCUUUCUCAAGAGUACAAGACUGUAAUCAAUCACAAUUGUUUCCAAGAUACAUUGCCUUAACUAAACAUUUUGAUCUGUUGAGAAUGGAACAACUUGAUUCCAACCCUGAGCAUGGCAAGGGCGAAGGACUGUCGUGGGAAACAGGGGAGAAGGUGAGGUCUCAGUUUGCCUAGAGGUAAGAGAGUUAAGAGAAAGCUUUGAUGACACUCAGUUGUGGAGCCCAGGGUUGAUGCCACCUUAGGCAUGGCCUUUGUGGAAUAACUUACUGGACAUCCAUAAUACUAGCAUCCAUUGCUGCUAGUUUAUGCAAGCGGCAUGGAGUCAGCAUAUCCAGAUAACCCAGGAAAAGUAUGUCACUUGUAAAUAACCCACGACUCUAUGCUGAAGUCACAAACUAUGGCCCAUGGGCCAGACCUGAUCUGUUGCCUGUUACUUUUUUUUUCCUUUUUGGUCUGAUCUGUAUAAAGUAGACUUUACAUUUUGAAAUCAUUACAAAAAAAUCAAAAUAUUAUAUGGCAUGCGAAAGUUACAGGAAAUUCAAAUUUGUGUCCCUGAAUAAUUUUACUGGAACACAGCCAUGCCCAGGCGUUCACAUACUGUCAAUGACUGCCUUUGUAUUACACAACAGCCGAGUUGAGCAACAGAGACAGUUAUGGCCUACAAAGCCUAAAAUAUUUACUAUCUCCGUCCCUUUACAGAACAAAUUUGCCAACCCCUAUCUCAGAGCUCACAUCUCACAAGUGCUCUGGUAACUUUUUCAUAAAUAAAAGAUAAAGCCUGAAUGUGUAACUACAAAACAGUCACAUUUAUUACUGUUUGCUGUAGUUUCCAAAGCUUGUGCACCAGACAUGCAUAAAAAAUGCAAAAGUGAGCCCAGACUGGUUAUAAAAUGUUUCCUGUUUGUCAUUUCUCCCUUUGCAGUUUCCCUACUGGGCUUGCACACGCAGCAGAGGAAGAACAACACUUAGUCACCGUGCUAGAUUUAAAAGCAUUUAAUGACAUAGCAUAUAUUUAACAGAUAGGGCAAAAGUUGAGAGGUACAGGUCGUACGACUGAGCACCAGGCCUGAGCGACCACCUCCCUGUUCAGGCCCAGCCUCUGGAGUUCAUUCCUAUCAAUGUCAUUUUGAUUGUGCAGUAAGAUGAAAAUUUGUCAUUACAAUAGUUACAGUGACAGAGAAAUGCACACUAUGUAUCAAAUAGCAAGGAAAUGAAGCAAAUUAUAACACAGUGUGGCAACGCACGAGCAAGUAACCAUUAAAGUAACAUUACUUUGUCCAGUAAAUGCUUCAGUUCCACCACUUAUACACUUACCAAUGAUUUAAAGGGUUUAUUAUACAUCUAGUUUUAUUAUACUUUGUACUAGAAUUAUCUCAAACAUACAAUAUAAUGUAUUUCAGCAAAAAAAAAAAAAAAAAAAUUGAAAUUACAGAUUAUUUAAAACAGUAUCAGUUUUCUAUUCCUUCUUGUAUACUGACAUUCUUAACCGUCAUAGCAGUUGAUGCAGAAAAGCCGCAUGUCAUGUGUUAGUAAGUGAUGCCAGAUACAAAUGGUUUGGUCUGUAGAGUUAAUGUGGAGCUGCACUGUGGCUGCAGCAAGAUCAUAAUAUGUGAUCUGUUUAAUAAAGGUUAGCCCCAUCUUGGGCACUUCUAAUAGUCAAGACUCAGGGUAACCACCGGAAGUAAAUGGAGAGAGAAUGGUGUCAGGAUAUUGGUACAUUUUGUCUCUGGUAAGCACAGGAAAUAUUGAUUAAGCACCGCUGCCUUGCAUACCAACAGCACUAGAGGCGGGUUAUUUCCAACACAGCCUCACAAAAUUGAGGAACAGUUUAAAUACUGAGAUCUAAUCUAUAUAAUUUCAUUAAAAAAAAUCUGGCCUUCCCUCUGCACCUCAAACUUUUGUAACUUGGAGAUAAAGUGUUUAGGUGUGUUUCCCCCACCCCCCAGAAAUGCUCUAUAAAUUAAAAAAAAAAAAAAAAAAAAAAAAAAAA